CCAGGUUUUCUGCCAAUCAACUACUUAUCUGAACAGCAAUCGCCAAGUGACAUUCUGCGCCGAAUCACCUUGUGAAUUAACUACCGAAUUUACCAUAUUUCACUGGCGAAAAAGCUAUAAAAUAACAUUUCAGUUUCAAUUCGAAUCGAGGCUAGAAAGCAUUGUAUCCACUCUGGUGAAAACCUGGUAAAUUGUACAGUCAUGUGGAAUAGCAAUUUCUUUUUAUAUUUUAUGGCUAUUUUUAUUGCAGUUUAUUUGCUGAACACAGAAGAAGAGUUUGAGUGGCUCAAGAAAAAAGGGUUGUUGCUGAACUCGGGAGAUCGAGUGUAUGCUAAAUGAAG